rnacentral:rRNA from 1 species
CGGCGAGUGAAGCGGUAACAGCUCAAAUUUGAAAUCUGGCCUCACGGUCCGAGUUGUAAUUUGUAGAGGAUGCUUCGAGCAUGGUCUGGCCUAAGUUCCUUGGAACAGGACGUCAUAGAGGGUGAGAAUCCCGUAUGCGGCCAGGUGCCUACGCUCAUGUGAAGCUCCUUCGACGAGUCGAGUUGUUUGGGAAUGCAGCUCAAAAUGGGUGGUAAAUUUCAUCUAAAGCUAAAUAUUGGCCAGAGACCGAUAGCGCACAAGUAGAGUGAUCGAAAGAUGAAAAGCACUUUGGAAAGAGAGUUAAACAGUACGUGAAAUUGUUGAAAGGGAAGCGCUUGCAACCAGACUUGCGCGCGGCCGAUCAUCCGGUGUUCUCACCGGUGCACUCGGCCGUGCUCAGGCCAGCAUCGGUUUUGGCGGCUGGAUAAAGGCCCUAGGAAUGUAGCUCCUCUCGGGGAGUGUUAUAGCCUAGGGUGCAAUGCAGCCUGCUGGGACCGAGGACCGCGCUUCGGCUAGGAUG